AAAGGCCGCUCCCCGAUCGGGUUAUUACGUACAGUCCGGCUGGAAACUGCGAGGAGGGAGUAGGGGUUGUGUGUUGUUCUAGAAAGUCCUCGACCUUGCAGGGGUGAUAAAUUGGAAGGAGGGCAGGCGGGGCGAGUACAAUGCUGGAAAGACCCAAACACAUUUGUUUGUGACCUUAGCCAAUAUGGUGAAUAUAUGCAUCCUUUCUUUAUGCUUUGCUUUGUAAACCAGAAGCAGUUUAGUGAAAAGAACAUGGAUUUUUGGAGUCCGGCAGAUACAGAUCAUUACAAACAGAACUGUCAGAAGUCCCUCUUAGACUCUCGUUUAAGUACCCUUCUUGAAGGGGAGCAAGCUAAUCCACAAUGGAGAGGACUCAAUAAAAUAAACAGCUGGAAAUAAGCAGACUACUGUAAGAGUGAGUUGAAAAGAAAACCCAAUAAUGAAAGCCAAAAAGUUAACUGUAUAGAGAUGUGCAGAACAACAUUAAAUAUUAUGACUCAAAAGCAGGGACGAAGGUAAAUUUGAAAGAAGAGUAAGAGAGAAAAUGUUUACAGGCCAUUACAAGUUCUUAAGUUA